rnacentral:rRNA from 1 species
GACGAACGCUGGCGGCGUGCUUAACACAUGCAAGUCGAACGGUAAGGCCCUUCGGGGUACACGAGUGGCGAACGGGUGAGUAACACGUGGGUGAUCUGCCCUGCACUUCGGGAUAAGCCUGGGAAACUGGGUCUAAUACCGGAUAGGACUCCUGGCUUCAUGGUUGGGGGUGGAAAGCUUUUGCGGUGUGGGAUGGGCCCGCGGCCUAUCAGCUUGUUGGUGGGGUAAUGGCCUACCAAGGCGACGACGGGUAGCCGGCCUGAGAGGGUGACCGGUCACACUGGGACUGAGAUACUGCCCAGAAUCCGACGGGAGGCAGCAGUGGGGAAUAUUGCACAAUGGGCGCAAGCCUGAUGCAGCGACGCCGCGUGAGGGAUGACGGCCUUCGGGUUGUAAACCUCUUUCAGCUAUGACGAAGCGCAAGUGACGGUAGUAGCAGAAGAAGGACCGGCCAACUACGUGCCAGCCGCCGCCGUAA